GGACAAGUAGUUUAAGUCAAACCAUAACACUGAAAAUGUUAAAAUGGCCAUCCGCCCUUCUCCA
rnacentral:tRNA from 1 species